CUUUGAUUUAAUUGAGACAGCUGCGACUUUUCAAAGGAGUUAUAAGUCUUUUUUAUUGUGCAGACGGACACAAGCUUGUUUCAGAAGGACAGCAAAGUCUUUGAGAAUACCGAAAAAUGUUUUCAAAACAGCGCAAGCGUCACCGUGAUCACACAGGUGAAAUGGGUGCCAAGCGUCACCCUGAUUUCAUUAACCGCACCAUGUCAGCUCUCCUGCAGAUCUUCAGAGAGAGAAGAGAAAGCAGAGAGAAGAAAAGGGAGAGAAAUGA